ensembl:lncRNA
CCUGACCUCUGAGGGUUCACAUUCUCAACAGCUCCAGGGCAGUCAAGGCAAUUCCAUUAGCAUAUCUGUUCUCCAGACAGAUAUUUUUAGCAGCAGAUAGCCUGAAUGCAUCCAAAGAAUGCACCUGUUAGAUGGAAAGCUAGAUCUGGCAACCAUACAAUCUAAUUUCAAGAGAGCCAAGUCAGUCGUGUGCUGAACUAUGGGACACAACAGGAAAUCUAUUGACUUUAGGCUCAUGACAGCUGUUUUGCAAAGUAGGUGAUGAGUGCUGAGAAGAGAAGAAGGCAGGAUAAAGCAACGGGAGGUGAGCAAGAAGAUCUCUCUGAGGAGUAGCAUCUGAGCAGAGAACUGAACUGAGGGGAGGCAUUCAAAUAAAGAGCUGGGUGGAGAGCACUGCGGAAGAAUUUUGGUCAAGGAACAGCAAGAAGGCUAAAAGCUCCAUCUGCUAAUGUUAGCCCGCUCCUUGGAAAGGCAUCUCUUUUCUACAUGAAGAAUCAGGCGUCACUAUUGAAUCGAUGGCAGCCUAGCCUCCCAUUUAUCUGUCCGAUAGAAUUUCUUGAGUGAAAAAUAUGUCCAAAUAUAAUCAAAGGGAAAAACUGAAUGUACUUCUGUUCGAGGUAUAGUCUGUGAAAAUGAAUAACAAUCCCACUUAUGCAUCUCUUAUUGACUAUGGAGCGUAUGAAAGAAAAACCUUAAGUAAAACCAGCAGAUCCAUUUGGAGUGGUAGAGCAAACUGUGUACAGUAUAAGCGCUACGCAACCUUUGCCACGAGGGAAGAAAUCAGCCAAGAUUGAAGUACAUCUGGAUCAAAACCAUGGCAACCAUAAAACCCAGCGAGAGAUAGGCUAUGCUUGGUGGCCUUAUUCUCUUUCUUUGCUAGACACUACUUCCUUUUCCCACUGUUGCCAGCCCAUGGCACAGAGGAGUGGAUAAGGAAAAGCAAACAUUUAUUGAAAGCCUGUGAUGUGUUAGGCACUUUACACAUCCUAACUCACUUCGUUUCUAUGAUCAUCUUCUGUGGUAGGUUACUAUUAUCCUCAUUUAGCAGAUGGGGAAACUGAGUCUCAGGAAGACUAGUUGGGAUCUAAAUCUGGGUCUAUCUGACUCCAUUAGCCCAUAUAUAUUUUUUUCAUGAUAUCAUGCUAGAUAAGAAAAAGAGAAAGGUGGAUGAUGGCAAAUAUUAUACCAUACCUCUUGGGACAUCGUACAUUGGUUAAGUAUUAUUCAUUUUAUCAAUUAUAUUGCCAUAGACACAUAAAAUUGCUGUAAUUGUCAUUCUAUGCUGUGACUUUCAGAAUCCCUGGCAAAGAAUGCCAUUUCCUAAUCAACCAAAUUUUCAAUUACUCCAUCUUGGUAAUCUCUUUACUUUCACUGUCCUGUUAAAUCCUGGAUAUACUUUAAUCAUCCUCGGGCUUUUAGCUCCCAUUUUCAGCUCUGCAUCUCCGCCUGGCCCUGUUAUCUCUUGGAUGUCUCAUCAUGAAAUUGGCUAGGUCAGAGUGUAUCACACAUCUCUUAUUCAUCUUCAGAGCUCCACCCAAUUCCACUCUUAUCUCUACCUGGAUUCUCAGUUUGAGCUACACCCUUCCCACCACUCCCCUUUUUUCACCAAUCCUCAUUCCUGACCUCGACUUUAUCCCCUU